rnacentral:rRNA from 1 species
GUGGGGAAUCUUGCGCAAUGGGCGAAAGCCUGACGCAGCCAUGCCGCGUGAAUGAUGAAGGUCUUAGGAUUGUAAAAUUCUUUCACCGGGGACGAUAAUGACGGUACCCGGAGAAGAAGCCCCGGCUAACUUCGUGCCAGCAGCCGCGGUAAUACGAAGGGGGCUAGCGUUGCUCGGAAUUACUGGGCGUAAAGGGCGCGUAGGCGGACAGCUUAGUCAGAGGUGAAAGCCCAGGGCUCAACCUUGGAAUUGCCUUUGAUACUGGCUGUCUUGAGUUUGGGAGAGGUGAGUGGAACUCCGAGUGUAGAGGUGAAAUUCGUAGAUAUUCGGAAGAACACCAGUGGCGAAGGCGACUCACUGGCCCAAUACUGACGCUGAGGCGCGAAAGCGUGGGGAGCAAACAGGAUUAGAUACCCCGGUAGUCC